AAGAUGAAACUGACCUAGACCACCUGGAUCGGAAUCCGCCUCCUCCUGUCUCCAUCUUUGUCUCUUGGCUCCUCCUCCUUUUUCCUAGACUUUCUCCGCCUACCCUUCCUUCUCAUCCAAUGAUAGGCUUCGCUUUAUCCUGGCCCCGCCUUGCUGCCUGAUGACAUCAUCCUACACAGACCUCCCAGGACUUGGAAGAUCUUCUGAAGAAAACCACCAGGGCCAAGAGAAAAGAGAGCUAAUGCUCACAGCCGGAAGCCGAGAUGGGGAGACCUUAGGAGGUCGAUGUGGGGUGGAGUGAGGCAGUCCCCUUUCUCCUGCAGAGCUGCUGGUUGUCUGUCUGUGUCUUCGUGUGCCGCUCUAAGGUGAACACACGGCGGGGAAUUACCAGACAUUGGAAGAAAUCGCCAAGCAUGAGACUGAAGUGCAGGGUGACAUGGGAAAUAAAGGCAGCCGCAGGGAAA